UGGCUCUCGCAUCGAUGAAGAACGCAGCGAAAUGCGAUAAGUAAUGUGAAUUGCAGAAUUCAGUGAAUCAUCGAAUCUUUGAACGCACCUUGCACUCCUUGGUAUUCCGAGGAGUAUGCCUGUUUGAGUGUCAUUAAAUUCUCAAAUCUCAUCAGUUUUAUUACUGAGUUGAGACUUUGGAUGUGGGGGUUGCAGGCUUCUCAGUCUGCUCUCCUUAAAUACAUUAGUGGUUACUGUUUGACCAUAUCCUGGUGUGAUAAUAUCUACUCCAUGGGUUGGUUAAUAUUUAAAGGUAGCUGCUUCGAACGGUCCAUUAAUUUGGACAACUUUGAACCAUUUGACCUCAAAUCAGGUAGGAUUACCCGCUGA
rnacentral:misc_RNA from 1 species